UACGUAGGGUGCGAGCGUUGUCCGGAAUUACUGGGCGUAAAGAGCUCGUAGGUGGUUUGUCACGUCGUCUGUGAAAUUCCGGGGCUUAACCUCGGACGUGCAGGCGAUACGGGCAAUACUUGAGUGCUGUAGGGGAGACUGGAAUUCCUGGUGUAGCGGUGAAAUGCGCAGAUAUCAGGAGGAACACCAAUGGCGAAGGCAGGUCUCUGGGCAGUUACUGACGCUGAGGAGCGAAAGCAUGGGUAGCGAACAGGAUUAGA
rnacentral:rRNA from 1 species